rnacentral:lncRNA from 1 species
UCUAAGAACAUGGAGCUCAUCAGGAGGUGCACGGACAGGAUGCGGUUUGGCCAACGUCCCUCAUGUGCAGGGCAGAGCCUCUGAUUCAUGGACCUGCCUCACCAGGGCCGCUGCUCUCCAUCUGCCCGAGCAGGAGGCCCGGUCUCCACUGCCUGACACUCCUGAGUCGCUCCCUCCAAGUUGACCCGGUGACUUACCGUGGGUCAGACGCACCAUGACCACACAGACAUUCCAUCCAGGAAAAGGAGCAAGUGAGGCCCAUGCACACCCGAGAGGCCACAUGCAAGUUCAAGUGAGCCCUGCACUCACUUGACAGCCUAUGGGGGCUGCCACAAGGGCUGCCUCGGGUCUGCCCUCCCUCCUACUCUGCCAGACCUGCAGACCCCAGCAGUGACUCGUUCCUGCCACUGACUUCAGGGAAGCCUGGGCCGGUGCCCCAGGGUCCGUCCUGUGAGGCUUCUGGACUUGUGACCCCAGUCAAAGGGAGGGUGUCCUUGUUAUAAGACAAGCUGGUCUGCCCUGCAAGGGACCAUGAGAGGUCACCUGCAGCCAAGGCCCCAAAUGGAGGGGAGCCUCAGGAAGGCAUGCAGUGAGGACCCCAACUGGGCCCUGAAUGAAUGGGGUUUGGGGCCGGAGCCCAGCCCCAGAGUCGCGCACUCCUUGGACAAGGUUAAGGCCAAGGCACGCAGUGCUGCCCAUGUCCCCAAGAACAGGGAAAGAGGGCUCUGGCUGGGUGGGGCUCAGGCCUGGGUUCAGCCCCAAGCCCACUGGCCCUGGGUGAGCACAGAUAUCCUCAGGGCAUCUGUGGUGGGACGAAGGAGCCAAGACAGCGUGGCAGCCCUGUGCCCAAGCUCGCCGCACAGGGUCCGUGAGGAGUGACAGGAGGGGCAGGCCAAGGAGGGGAGAGGAACUUCAAGCACCACGCUCCACGCAGGCAACUUAC